GCUGCAGGGGCCGAGUGCGGGGUGGCUGGGUGGCAAGGGACAGCAAUUAAGCGAGGAGUUAAUUGCAGGGCUAAUGCGGCUGCGCGUGUUCCCCAGCGCCUGGGCUUUGAUGUGCGUCCGGUUUGGGAGCGGAGCUCCGCCAGCCGUGGGGAGAUGGGGCUGUGCCUUUCCCCUCCCAUCCCCCGCCCACACACACACUGCGAUGCAGAAUCCAGGGCAGGAAAAUACCUUGUUGUCCGGCUAUGAAGACGGGGACGGGUGCUACCUUGGCCAUCACCCCAGGGAUCUCCACAGAAGACCAACGCCGGCACCUCUGGGAGAUCCUGGGGGAGAUCCUGACCGAGGAAUGCAUCAGUCAUCAUCUUGCUGGAAGAUGGUGGGUGAGAGAGGCCAUUUUGAACAAUGCCUGCAACCAAAACUUGCUGGAUCAUAUUUUAGACAUUUAGCUGCAUGUUUUCUCUUUGAUUUGCUCCCAACCAUUUCUAACUUUAUCUCUUGUACCUGAAUUCACUUAACAUCCCAUCUUCUUUUGUUAAUAGACUUGCUUUAUUUUUAAUCUAAAACAACUGCGCUGUGUGUAAACAGCUAUUUGGUAACUCAAGUUAAAGUAACAAACUGUUGAAUGUCGACUCCUUACAGGGGCAUCGAACCUCAGCAUCUGAACUGUCCAGGAGAGGGCUGGGCUGUGCACAACAUAUGUUUUGGGAAACAUUCGGGACUGGGAGUCUUUGGGGCCACCCUACAAGUAGUAAUCAAGCCUGGGGAAAGCCAGAGGGGGCUGCAGAUAGGCUGCUGGGGUCAGCGUGGCUGAGCCAGGGCUGUCUAAUGCAUAGAUGCUCAGGGUGUGAUCUGCAUGUUGGUGGCUGGUUGUGUGUGGCCCAGGUUGAGAGCUGCAACAGUAAAAUAUUGUGAGACACCCAAGGUUACAGGUCAGGCGGUGACACAACCCCUCACUGGUGUGGAUUGCACCCCAGAAUGUGACGGGGAAAUCAGCAGCGGAGCUGUAAACCUCACUCACUAAGUAUUUGGAGCAGGAGAAGGAGAAGGGGAAGGAGGAGGGAGAUGACCCAAGGUUGGGAAACCCGCCAGACCUUACUUCCCCACUGGAGAUGGCUGCGCAGGUAAAGCUGCCUAGAUUGCGGCUCCGCAGAAACAAGGAGGCACCCGAGCACCGCAAUGCAGAUGGUAGAGCUCAGACUGCAAGAGAAGAAAACCUCUGGCCUGCGUGAUCCCCAAAACGUCACAAUCUGGUACCCAGUUAACCACAUUUCUUUUCUUUCUGUUAUCUCAGCCCCAACCUUAAAAAUUAGUGAUCUCUGGUAUUUCAAGAAGCACUUCACGUUUAACACAGAACACCUCUUGUUUCUCAUGAAGGCCAAGACUAUAACCGGAUUCAAAAAAGAGCUAGAUACAUUCAUGGAAGAUAGGUUCACCAAUGGCUAUUAGCCAGGAUGGGCAGGUAUGGAGUCCCUAGCCUCUGUUUGCCAGAAGCUGGGAAUGGUUGACAAGGAAUGAAUCACUCGAUGAUUACCUGUUCUGUUCAUUCAUUCUAGGGCACCUGGCAUUGGCCACUGUCGGAAGACAGGAUACUGGGCUAGAUGGACCCCUGGUCUGACCCAGUAGGGCGGUUCUUAUGUUCUUAUGAUCUUUUUCAGUCACACGCUUUGGGCCUCUCCCGCACACUAAUCUCCAAACUCAAUUUCAAACCCAAAGCUCAUCCAGGUCUACUGUGGCCCUCCUCCAUACCCCCUGUGCCAAUGCUGGUCUGGAAGUGGGGAGCAGUUAGUAAUUCCAUGGGAACCUCUGCAGGCUGUCCCUAUGUUGGAGGAUGUCAUCCUGAGAAGAGCCCUUCCCCCAAAAGCACAGGAGCAUCUUGUUCGAAAAGACAACGGGCAAACAGGAAAGCUAGGCUGCUCUGCUAUUUACCAGGAGGGUGGAGGAGUGGUCAGCAAUCACAGCCUGUGUGGGCAGCCCCGGGAAGCGGCACUGCCUUGCAACGUGUGUGCCCAAACAAGAGCCCUUUCCAUGUCUUACAGUUUCUUGUACAAGCCCUGCAGAGCGGCACAAAGUGCGCUGCCAAAUAAACAGGCUUUUGCAGUAAAUGGGCUGCACCAAGGGCUAAUCACCUGGGCCACUGUGGAUCAAAUAUAGUUUGAAGAAUUCAUGUAAAAAUGCAAAGGCAGCUGAAAGCUCAAGGGCACGGAUCAAACAAGGAGCCAAAGAACUUGUUCUAUUGCUUUGCCCCUCUCUGGAGCUGCCCCUACAAUAAACACACCUGCCAGGGUGAGGCAUUUGAUCUUUUUCAACCCCUGGGGUGCUGCCAUCUUGAAGGACGGAGUGGGGGCCCCUCUCAAUUGACCAGGAGUCAGAUGGAACAACGAACAGGGCGGGGGCUGGGACAGGGGAGAUGCAUGUUCAGUUGAUGGAUGGGGGAGUUUAUAUUUCAGAGAAAUAAAUACUUUAGAGCUCAAAUUCUCCGGCCCAGGUGCUAUUAUGAGCACAAUGGAAAGUGGUGAUUAUAGCCGAGCAGCUGGAGAGAAAGCGCCGUAAUCCACCGCACAGGGCGGCACCCUGCUGGUCCCUGGAAUAAAGUUGUUUCAAUCCCCCUGUAAAGUUAUAUGGCAAUUUACUGACAAAAAACUUCAUCAACGCUGAGUUAAGGUUGCCUGGGGGUAUCUCCUGCCCUUCCAUAAUGGUGAGUUCAGCAAAUCUGAAACCUCUGAAAAGCAGGAAAUACUGAGUUAAGGCGAACUUCCGCACAGCCUUAACUCUGCCCUCCCUGGAGUUGACAGUAGCCACUGGGAAUUAGGUGCAUGCACUCUCGCUGCAUUCCCUGUAUUUGGCAUAGUGGUAUUGAAAGGUGGAGAGAUUACGUAGAGCUGCUUGGCAGAGCUGUGACUGUGCCAUGAUUUGGAGGGGUGUGAUCAAAGGAGCGAGGUGCAUGUGGCCCUUUAGAGAUCCACUUUUGUCCAGUGCAUCGUUGCCUUCUGUGGAAGUGUCCAUGUUCACUUAGAUUUGCAUUUACUGUCCUAGUACCUCAGGACUUUCCCCCUCCUCCCACCAUGCUGGGAAAUCCACCUGACACUGCCCAUCCCUGACUGCCAGGAAAUCUCCUUGGGCUCUGCCCCCGCCCUGACUACUCCUGCCCCACUGCCAGGAAAUCUCCUUAGAUUCUGCCCCACCCUGCGCUUCCCAUUGUGCCUGGUACUGCACAGACCCUGACUGAGACUGGGGAUGUCAAAUGUGAUGGUGGGGAUCAGGGCCCAGGUGUCUCAAGUUUAGCACCCCAAAUUCUGGGAUGCCCAUUACCCUUGGUGACUGACCUUUCUGGGGCGGCACCAGCUUCUUCCCGGUGAGGGGGCUUAACUGAGCUAGUCAGAAAAAUGGAGAGGCAUUUCCACCCUUACUUCUCUGCUGCUCUUGUUGGAGGUGCCUUCAGAGCUGAGUGGAUGGACAGCAGCGGCUGCUGGCUGGGCACCCAGCUCUAAAGGCAGUGACACCACCAGCAGCAGCGCAGAAGUGAGGGUGACAAUGCCAUACCAUGCUACCCUUACGUCUGCAUAACAUUUGACAUUUGUGCCAGGAGGGGAGGAUACAGGGAGGGGCUAAUGCAAAUUUUAGGUGCCUAUAGCCCUCACAAAAUCCCCACAGUGCUGCCCCUGAACCUUCGCCAGGUAGAUCAUCCAGGGUGUAGCAGACAUGCCCAGUGGGGGCUGCCUGGGCACCCAGCUGACUGAUGCAGUGACUGAGCCCAGCCCUUGUAAAGUGCUCCUUGUAAAUCAGCUGCUAGGUCAAUCCGGGCACCUGGUUCCUUUCGCUUCCAGAGGACCAGAUGCUUACAGCUGACUCCUGCAAACAACAGUGGGCUCUGCGCCCACCACACAGCCAGGGCUAAGGUCAACCCUAAGCUAUAUACAACCGAUUACUGUCUCUAUCCAUCCAGUGUCAUCCCACCCUCCAUGCAUCCAUCCAUCCAUCCCCGCACGCACACACCUACCGAUCUCUGCAGCAGAUUGUUUCCAAAGGUUCCCAAGCGAGUUAGGUGCCCAGGUCUCUGGGAGUUGGGCCCAUAACCCCGUAGUACGCCCCUUUGGGGAUCCUAGUCCAGGUUCCUGCUGGUCCCUCACUGGGGGAGAGGUCACAGAGCGAGAGUGCAAGGCCAGAAGGGACCACUGUGAUUGGCUAGUCUGACGUCCCGCUUAGCACGGGCCGGAGAAUGCCCCCAAAAUAAUCCCAGUUGGACCUAGAGCUGGCUAUUUAGGGUCAGGGCUGGCCCCCAACAUCCCACCUGGCCUCUGACUGUGAGUGCCUCUGUUUCCACAUUGCCCAAGUCAAGACGCCUGGGCCUGAUUUACAGUGGCAUUGAGCAUCACCUCACGUGUAACCCCCGUCCCCCACCACCACCACCACACACAUCAGUUUCCCAGAACAUGCUCAACCCCUGUGACCCACAGUUACUAAUGACACUUAGAAUGUCUCCAUGGGAUGAAGUUGCCCUGCCCAACCCAUGUCCACGCUUUCAGUUCCCUUUCGCUUUCCACCCCACCCAGAGCUGCGCAGCUGAGCGCUGAUAAAUGCUCCCUCCCCAGGGCAGAAAGCCGGAUCCAUCUCUGAUGGCAGCAGCAGACGCGCAAGGACUCAGGUUGGCUUCCCAACUCCUCCGUUGGGCCCCAGGGACUAGCUGAGCUGCUGGGAACCUGAACACACAUUGCAUCCACCCCCAGACUGAGCCGAAAGGGACGUCAGGGCCUGAUUUCAUCUCCUUCUUAGCACCCUUGAAAGGCCCAGUCUGUAGUUGAUCUGCAUGGUGGUGUAGGAUCAUAAAGAAAGCUAGCUUCUGGAGCUGGCUAGGAAACAUUUUGUUGUUGUUUUUUCCUCCUGUGGAAAAUGUUGACCUUUCACCAUAAAACAUGAAACAGAUCAAAAUUUUGGCCAAAAUCAUCCCAAAAAAACAGAAAUAAUUUUCAGCUGAAACCAGAAAAAACCUGUGGUUGAAAACAACAAAACCCAAAACAAAACAAUUGGCCCAAAAACGAUAGCUAUUGUCCAUAAACAGUGAGAAACCAAAACAUAUUCCGGUAGGGGCUACAAUUUUUCAGUUUUGGGGACUGUCAGUGUCUCAACAAGAAGCUGGAAAUGUUCCUGGGAAGCAGAAACUUGUGUGCUAAUCAUUUCAACAGCAGUGUAACCUGUCUGAUGUUCCCGAUGUAGGUGCUUCUUCUGGCCCUCAUGGGGGGACCUGGCUGCUGGGGCUGUGAAGGCAGCGCUUGGACUGUGCCCAGAGCCACUGCCCGGAGUCGGAGAUGUUGCAGAAGGACACGUGGGCAAUGACAGCUGUGAAUGCCAGCAGAGGCUGGCCAGAAUCAAAUCAGAUGGUGAGAGCUCCCCCGCAGCAGGCCCGGAUCGUCGAGUGCAGCCAGUCUGUGCAUCUAAACAGCCAGGCCAGCCUAUGAGAUAUUCAGAGGUUAUUAAAUAUGACAAACCUCAAUGUUAAAGAUAGUGAUUUUCUGAAUUGGGUGUUUGUGGGGGGAGGGGUGGCCAGUAAUGCUCAACGUCACCCUGGCUAUAACAGACAAGCAAGGGCCAAAUCACCAGCUGGUGUCAAGAGCCGUCCACACCAACUCAGGACUGGAUCCAUUGACAUUCAUGGAACCACUGUACAUCUCCACCGACUGGGGACCUGACCCCUAUCGUCUGUACUGGCCAUUCACCUGCUAGCUUUCUAUGCAGGGCCGGAUUUACACAUCACUGGGCCCUAGGUGGCACUGCUCAGCUUUGGUCCGGCCGCCCCUCCAUCAUAACAGGGGCGACUGGGCCAAAUUUUAGUGAAUGGCAUCGCCCGGGGUUACCAGGUCUACCUAAGCGUUCCUGUGCAUUGAUCUGUCCCCGUCCCCACGCGUGGAUAAUCUGCCUCGGUUCUUCAGUAUCUCCUAUUCCCCUGCACACCCUGAAGGCUGCUCAGUGAAAGCAUUAGAUUUAAUCCAAGAGUGUAGGGGCCACAGCCACCAUAUUUAGAGGAAAUACAGCCCACUGUGUUUGCUUCACCAUUUAAAUACUUGUUGCUCUCUAGACAUGGGAUGAAUUAUGUGGCGGGAGAAGAAAUAUGGAGAGGUACGAACAGUGACUAGGACACAGGAUUGGAACUCAGGACCCCAAAUUCUAUUCCUGGCUUUUCCACUGUCCUGCUGGGUGACCUUGAAUCAGUCACAUUCCCGCUCUGUGCCUCAGUUUCCCGACCUGUAACUUGUUACUGACUUUCUUUGGAAAGCGCUUUGUUCUCUAUUGAUGUGAAGCGCUAGAGAAGAGCUGGGGAUUGUUAUUCUAUUAACAUGAUUAGUUUUGAAAUGUUAAAAGAAAUUGCUUGAAAGGGGGAAACCUAUCAACAGUCCCAGCUAAUCCAGCAACUACAACUGAAAUGAAUAACGCAUUAAUAAUCCCACUAGGCAAACGAUCAAAUGCAACAUGGCUUUCACCAUCGCCAUCUCUCGGCUGUCGGUGGAAGUAGCUGGGAAGCAGAGGAAGCAGGUAUCUCAGAGUCCAUCAGCAGUGUCCAGUAGGAUGUAGAUCCCCGUUUGCUGUCCAAGAAGCUGCAGAACUGGCAAAGUGCUGCUGGGCCCUCAGACAAGCCUCUUCCUACCCGGGCCUUCGAAGAAGUGGGGAGGCUUCAUAAUGGAGUGUGCGUGUCUCUUUAGUUUGAUUUGAUCUGAGCGGUCCCUUGCUGAGUCUGCAGGCUUCCUAGGCAGACCUGGAGGGACCGGACCGAGCGAUGCUGGGUGCGAGUUUCUCCUCCAUCAGCCCAAGCACACUGGUCUGAGAGAACCUCAGCAAAUGACUUGUAAGCAAUUUCUUCUGACGCUUUAAACCAGUGGCUUUCAAAGCAAACACUAGCAAUAAAAGGGGCUGCCUUGUGAGAGGCCCUCAGACACAGCGCAGCAUCACUACUUGGGGAGCGGCCUGGCCCGUGAGAAUGGGGUUAGGGAUACAGGACUCGUGACCAAUGAUUAUAAUAAAUGGAAUGAGAAAUCAUGGGGAUCUGUUGCUCUGGGGUAUAGCCACUUGAUGUUAAUUGCUGGCCAUUGCUGUGCCUGGUUCAUGCCUACAAACUUUGGUGCCCACGAACUAGAUCUGCAAAUCUCUUGAUUCUCAAACUUUGUGACUCUUGAUGAAUGAAUAAACCUUA